GACGAACGCUGGCGGCGUGCUUAACACAUGCAAGUCGAACGGAAAGACCCUGCUUUUGUUGGGUGCUCGAGUGGCGAACGGGUGAGUAACACGUGAGUAACCUGCCCUUGACUUUGUGAUAACUUCAGGAAACUGGGGCUAAUACCGCAUAGGAGCUCCUGCUGCAUGUUGGUGGUUGGAGAGUUUCGGCGGUUGGGGAUGGACUCGCUGCUUAUGAGCUUGUUGGUGUGGUAGUGGCUUACGAGGGCUUUGACGGGUAGCCGGCCUGGGAGGGGUAACGGCGUCAUGGGGCCUGAGAUACGGACCGGUAUGGUACGGGAGGCAGUAGUGGGGAAUAUUGCAGAAUGGGCGGAAGUCUGAGGCAGAAACCCUGGGUGCGGGAUGCUGGGUUUCGGGUUGUAAACCGAUUUCGAAGGUGACGAAGAGUGAGUGACGGUAAUGGGUAAAGAAGCAACGGCUAACUACGUG
rnacentral:rRNA from 1 species